UCUGUCGUUCAUGGGUUUCUCGAACCAAGUUAUUUUUAAAUCAAUUUAAUUAUUUUACUUUUCGCAGACUCACACACAUGGCAAGGCACGCCUACAUGUUUAUCUAGCAGCAGCGAUUCUAGGCGCAAAAGGGAUUUAGGUUUUGCAAGAAGACGAUCGUUCUCUCGCUUUCUUCUCCCUUUUGAUUCGUCGUGGUUUUCACUCUCUUGAUGUGCGUCUCCGUUGCUUUUGGCUUUUGCUUUCAUGUUCAGUGGCCGAAACGUUACUGUUCGAUUUGUUUGGCCAUAAAGAGAGACAGAGGGGAGAGGACACUUGUAUGCGUCGAACCGACACCUGUACGCAUUGCAUGACAGAGAGAGAGAGAGAGGGUGUGUGUAUUGAAUGAAUGGAAGGGAUUGAUUCGGCGUUUUCUCCUUUUUCUCUGUGGUUUACAAAUCAAACCCUAAUUUGUUGAUUUUUGGUAACUUUCCUUAUAUGGUAUCGUUUGGCUUUCUCAGAUCUGACCGAUUUAUGCCUGCGAAAAUGUUUUUAGGUUUCUCGAUCUCUCUUUUUUGAUACGAGCAUGCUUUUCGUUUUCAUUUCCGGUUAUGUAUCACCUUUAAUUAUAUCUUCUGCAGAUUGUUUGUUUUUCUUCUUCGUCCUUGUGUUGUUCGUGCUAUUCUGGAACAAAGAAAUUGACAGAAGAGAGUGAGCACACACAAGGUAUCUGUAUAAAUGCAUACAUUUGCUUUUGCGUGCUUACUUCUCUUUCUGUCAGUUUCCAGUUCCAGAAUUCGAAUCGAUCGUUCUUUGUUCUUCCAGGUAUAUAGGUUUUCUAUUGUAUGUUCUCUGUAAACACUCUCUUUGGUUUUCUAAAGAUAGUGCAUAAAAUGAUGGUGCUACUACUCUCUAGUAAAGUAUUUCGACUUUCUUUUCUCGUUUUGAAUGGCUCUAUGUGCAGCAGGGGACCAUUCACCAUAUCUAUUAUGGUCCGCUCAAAACGGUCUCCGUUUCUAGUUUCGUUUUUCUUUUUCUUUUUUUAUUCUAGCGCAUGCGAUUGUUCAGUUUUUGAGAGUUUACUCUGAUUAGAUCUUGUUAUAGCCUGAUUUUGUUUGCAGGAAUCUUCAUAUCAUAUGCUCUUAGUACAAAUUUUUAUAUUCAAAACCCUACUAGAGCUCUAGAAUAAAGAUUGUGAGGCCCCUUAUUCAUUUACAUUCACUCUAAAAGUAGUUUUUAUUUGAAGUUUUAGAUUCUAACAGACGAUAGUUAAUUAGAUUGGUGUUCUUUGUUUAAGACGAUAAUUCUUAUUUUAUAACUUGUGAUUUGAUGUGAACAAUUUGCUCGGUGAAUAAGGUAAAGAAGAAAAUUGGAAUUAGGGUUUGGUAAUGAUGAUUUCCCAAAUAUAGGGCGAAUUUAGGCUUUUGGCCUUUCUUUUCUCCUUCUUGUUGUUUUGAGGUUUUGCAGAUGUGGAUGCUUUCUUUUGAUCCGGACACUGAAGAAUUUUCAAACAGUUUCAGGUAUAUGUUGAAGAUUAGAUGAGACAAUAAUGAGUUAUUAAAAUAAAACAAGGCCUGGAUGUCUAAUCGUCCAAAGGGGGCAGGAAAAGGUGCAACAAUUCUUCCAUGGAAGAUUGACGGAACACGGAGGAAUUGUAAAUGAAUUGAGGAAGACUUGCUGUUUAUUGCAUUCUAGCUACUCAAAGGGUAUUCUUAGUGAACUGAUGGAUACCUGUCUACAAGGGAGGCAGUUAAAAGGAGUUGAAUGAAGUGAGCCACACACAUCUUCUCACCCAUGAUGUCUGUUUUCUCCUAGUGUAAGUAUUCGUUUUGUUAAUUUAUAAACAGUCCUUAGUGCCAAGUUGAGCGAUCAGCGAUGGAGUUGAAA